AAGGGAAUUUGCUUGGAAGAGUUGAAUGUGUUACUUAGGCAAACUAUUAUGGUUUGUGCUCUUGUUCUCAAUAUGUUACUGUUAGUGAAGUUGAAGCACCUUUUGAGCUUUAGAAGAGCAUUAGCAGUUCUGUAAUCAAUGAUGGGUUGAUAAACAAGUUGCCUUGUAUGUUCUUCCACGAGUAGGAGAUUCACUGUGGUAUAUUUUAGUGAACC